AUCCAGCUGACGAGUCCCACAUGUGACGAGACCCGCGUCCUGGAU
rnacentral:hammerhead_ribozyme from 1 species